GUUAGAGUGCAGGAAAUACUCAUUUCAUCUUAUCAGUGCUCAAAGGCUUUCUUUGUAACAAUGUGUAAUAAUGUUUGUUUUUUUAACAGAUUAGCUGGAUAAUAAUAGGAGUCAAAAUGGCGGCACUGUUGGAUGAUAGUAUGCUAGUGCCCUUGCUAGCACGGCUAAAAUUUGGUCACAUCUCUUUAUAUCCGCAGGUCACAACCUCAAUGUACGUAUAAAGGAAGUAGUAACGCACACAGAGACGUCUUGAAAAUCCCCCUCGACUUCUUUUUGGCAAGAUGUCUCCUUCAGCUCAUCAGGGAGUUCCUCCGUACUCAUUGUUAGGUUUCCUUAUCGUGCCAGAUGACACCUUGUUGAUUCAAUCCCGACAUUAUUCUCGUAGGGAAGUGAUUGUUCUUCAUUUCCCGUGAGAUGGUUCGUCCAAACAGUGAAGGUUCCAUCCAGGCCAAGACGAUGGUAUUUUUCGAGACGAAAGGAAUCUGUGAAGGUCCAGCAAUGGCAAAUGGUUUGUUUGUUUUUUAUUUAUUCUCAAUAUCUGCAACAUAGCAUUCAAAUAAGCUUAAAUUGAUGUGAUACUACACGGAGGGGCAGUGCCCCUAGUGCAGGGAUGUGGCCCGAAGCUAUUUUUUAUUGGCCCACGGCACAUACACCAUUUUACAAAAAUAACGUUGGGGCGGCACGGCGGUCGAGUGGUUAGCGCGCAGACCUCACAGCUAGGAGACCAGGGUUCAAUUCCACCCUCGGCCUGUGUUAGCAUGGAGUUAGCAUGUUCUCCCCGUGCAUGCAUGGGUUUUCUCCGGUUUCCUCCCACAUUCCAAAAACAUGCUAGGUUACUUGGCGACUCCCAAAUUGUCCAUAGGUAUGAAUGUGAGUGUGAAUGGUUGUUUGUCUAUAUGUGCCCUGUGAUUGGCUGGCCACCAGUCCAGGGUGUACCCCGCCUCUCACCUAGAAGACAGCUGGGAUAGACUCCAGCACCCCCUGUGACCCUUGUGAGGAUAAGUGGUAGAAAAUGAAUGAAUGAAUGAUCGACGGGGCAGUUAUGAUUGAGCCCCGUGAACUCCGCCUAGCAACAAGUGCAUGUGACCAAUUAAAAUAAUAGAAAUUUUACCUCGCUUUUUUAAUGUUAUUUUUUAGUUCUGAGGUGUAAAAACUAAAACUAAGAAGUCAGCUGGGACAUCCGGUAGUUAUCCAGUCAACUCAUUGACCCCGCCCACCUCUUAGAUUAAUUAAUCAAAUUAAUUAAAUUACCACUAAUUAGAUUAAUUGACUUCCAUUA